GAGUUUCUUUUUGCUAUUGCUAUCUUUGCAUACUAGGAUCUGAUCCUAGUAUUGUAUCAGGUACUUCAGAUGCAAUUUAUAAUUAGCAUCGUUGAUGCAGGUGAAUGAUACACUUGGUACAUAAGCUGUAGGCAAAUGCUUCGAUAAUGAUGUUGCAGUUGCAGUUGCAGUUAUUUUGGGAACUAACUGGAAAAAAUGCAGUAUAUGUAGACCAUUCCUAAGAGGCAUGGUCUCCUACCUAAAUCAAGAGAGAUGAUUUUGAGAAGAAAUUUCUGGGAUGUAUUUGGGAGAUAUUGUACGUAGAGUCCUCUGCAAAAUGGCUGAAGAAGCUGAUUUUUUUGGUGAUGGUGUUCCACCAAAACUUAAGAUUCGAUUUAUUUUGAGGACUCCAGAAAUGUCUGCCAUUCCCAUAUUUGAGAGUGGUUAGGAGAAAAUUGGAGAACAUGUUUGUUUGUUCCCUCAUGAAGUUGAACUCUUUACUCAUUUUCCUAUCAACAGCACUUUCGUUGUACCGGUUACACUUGCAUAUAUUGAUACUCUAAAGCUGCUAAUUGGUGACAAUUAUGACUGCAUAAUCCAAGAGUGAUGUUGUGCGAUGGAGAUGAUGUCUUGGGGAUGUUUGAAGACUGUGACAUGAUUAAGUCGCCAAAAGGUUAUGUAAUUCCUGUAGGAGAGUGACCAAGUUAGAGUGCAAGGUGACAGUUGAUUGAUUACAAUUUUAGUUUCCAAUAUGCAACUAUGGAUUGCUAUUUAUCUUUCGAUUUAUAUUCAAAUAUUUUAUUUUCUUGAAAAAAUAAUUAAUAAAGUUGAUUUUAGAUCCAGUUAAAA